UCUCGCGUCAGGAUAUGCCCAGGUGGGAUUAGCUAGUUGGUGAGGUAAUGGCUCACCAAGGCGACGAUCCCUAGCUGGUCUGAGAGGAUGAUCAGCCACACUGGAACUGAGACACGGUCCAGACUCCUACGGGAGGCAGCAGUGGGGAAUAUUGCACAAUGGGCGCAAGCCUGAUGCAGCCAUGCCGCGUGUGUGAAGAAGGCCUUCGGGUUGUAAAGCACUUUCAGCAGUGAGGAAGGUAGUGUAGUUAAUAGCUGCAUUAUUUGACGUUAGCUACAGAAGAAGCACCGGCUAACUCCGUGCCAGCAGCCGCGGUAAUACGGAGGGUGCGAGCGUUAAUCGGAAUUACUGGGCGUAAAGCGCAUGCAGGUGGUUAGUUAAGUCAGAUGUGAAAGCCCGGGGCUCAACCUCGGAACUGCAUUUGAAACUGGCUGACUAGAGUACUGUAGAGGGGGGUAGAAUUUCA
rnacentral:rRNA from 1 species